GAGGGGAGGAGACUGCCGGCUUUACCGAGCGCUCCAGCUACAGCUUGAAGGUGCAGAGGCUGUCACCAGACUGGUUGCCCAACGAAAUGGUAUAAAAUAUGUUAUGAAGGUGGCAUGCUGUGGUCUGCGGUGGGCUAUGAAUUCUGCUGGAGUCCGUGCGCUUUGCAGCAGUGCUGCUUCUUCUCACAUCAGGAAAAGGUACACUGGGACAGAGCAAUGAUGUCAGAGAAGGACAGUCACAUCUCUGCAGACUUUGAAGAAGCAGGUGACAUCAAGAUCCUAAAAGAUGAGCACUUGAUUCACUGAAUCACUGGGAUUUACACACAUCUAAAACUUACUUGGUCCAAAAUAGUUUUCUUCACCUUUGGGGACAGGAGAGAAGGCAGCAGGAAUUAAAAGGGAAGUACCAUGCACUUGCUAAACCCUUCUAAUAGGCUAAGAGCCUGGAAUACCUGCUCCACUUGGGAAAUGUAGAGAGCAGAGCAGCAUCGAUGUUCUCUCCUCUAUUGCAUCUAAGCAGCAAAUGUCACCAUCUUUCCAAAAAAGGCACUCUGCUUUCAUGGGCACAACCAUGAAGCUGCCAUUGUGCAGGAGAC